CUGGUUCUCCUCUUCUACCUCCUCUUCCUCCACGGAAACUCUCUGCAGUUCAGACACGAGAUCGAACAACUCCAGCUGCAACUGGAAGACCAGGACAUCAAAACUCCAGUGAUCCUGUCUCUGAUUGGCCGGUUUGUGUCUGGUGAUCUCACGUUGUUUCCGGGUUUUAGCGAACAUCUCUGCAGCAGCGUUGAAGACUCCAGAGUGGACUCCUCUCCUGCGACUUAGGGAAAACAGAAAGUAAAGUCCCGCCCCUCCGUUUCUGCUCCUUUCUGUUUCCGGGUAGAACUGCCUUCAACAGGCCUCUGGCUCCACCCCCACCG